GACGUAGGGCGCGAGCGUUGUCCGGAUUUAUUGGGCGUAAAGAGCUCGUAGGCGGCUUGUCGCGUCGACUGUGAAAACUCGGAGCUUAACUCCGAGCCUGCUUCCGAUACGGGCAGACUAGAGGUAGGCAGGGGAGAGCGGAACUCCUGGUGUAGCGGUGAAAUGGCGCAGAUAUCGGGAGGAACACCGGUGGCGAAGGCGGGUUCUCUGG
rnacentral:rRNA from 1 species